AUGGGGUCAUGGCGCCCCGAACCCUCCUCCUGCUGCUCUCGGGGACCCUGGCCCUGGCCGAGACCUGGGCGGGCUCCCACUCCUUGAGGUAUUUCAGCACCGCCGUUUCCCAGCCGGGCCGCGGGGAGCCCCGCUUCAUCGCCGAGGGCUACGUGGACGACACGCAGUUCGUGCGGUUCGACAGUGACGCCGCGAGCCCGAGGAUGAAGACGCGGUUGCGGUGGGUGGAGCAGGAGGGGCCGGAGUAUUGGGACCUACAGACACUGGGCGCCAAGGCCCAGGCACAGACUGACCGAGUGAACCUGCGGACCCUGCUCCGCUACUACAACCAGAGCGAGGCGGGGUAUCACAUCCUCCAGGGAAUGUUUGGCUGCGACCUGGGGCCCGAUGGGCGUCUCCUCCGCGGGUAUGAGCAGUAUGCCUACGACGGCAAGGGUUACAUCGCCCUGAACGAGGACCUGCGCUCCUGGACCGCCGCGGACACCGCGGCUCAGAUCACCCAGCGCAAGUGGGAGGUGGCUAAUGUGGCUGAGCAAAGGAGAGCCUACCUGGUGAGCACCUGCGUGGAGUGGCUCUGCAGACACCUGGAGAAAGGGAAAGAGACGCUGCAGCGCGCGGACCCCCCCAAGACACACGUGACCCACCACCCUGUCUCUGAACAUGAGGCCACCCUGAGGUGCUGGGCCCUGGGCUUCUACCCUGCGGAGAUCACACUGACCUGGCAGCGGGAUAGGGAGGACCAGAUCCAGGACACGGAGUUCAUGGAGACCAGGCCUGCAGGGGAUGGAACCUUCCAGAAGUGGGUGGCUAUGGUGUUGCCUUCUGGAGAGGAACAGAGAUACAUGUGCCAUGUGCAGCACAAGGGGCUGCCCAAGCCCCUCACCCUGAGAUGGGGUAAGGAGAGAGAUGGGGCGGUCAUGUCUCUUAGGGAAAGCAGGAGCCCCUCUGGAGACCUUUAACAGGGUCGGUGGUGGGGCCUGGGGGUCAGAACCUUCACAUUCCCCUCCUUUCCCAGAGCCAUCUCCCCAGCCCACCAUCCCCAUUAUGGGCAUCGUUGCUGGCCUGGUUGUCCUUGGAGCUGUGGUCACUGGAGCUGUGGUCGCUGCUAUGAUGUGGAGGAAGAAGAGCUCAGAUAGAAAAGGAGGGAGCUACUCUCAGGCUGCUAUGUGAGACAGCUGCCUUGUGUGGGACUGAGAGGCAAGAUUUGUUCAUGCCUUCCCUUUGUGACUUCAAGAACCCUGACUUCUCUUUCUGCAAAGGCAACUGAAUGUGUCUGUGUCCCUAUAGGCAUAAUGUGAGGAGGUGGGGAGACCAGCCCACACCCGUGUCCACCAUGACCCUCUUCCCCACGCUGACCUACAUUCCUUCCCCGAUCACCUUUCCUGUUCCAGAAAAGGGGCUGGGAUGUCUCCAUCUCUGUCUAAACUUCAUGGUGCACUGAGCUGUAACUUCUUACUUCCCCAUUAAAAUUAGAAUCUGAGUAUAAAUUUACUUUUUUCAAAUUAUUUCCAUGAGAGGUUGAUGGAUUAAUUAAAGGAGAAGAUUCCUAAAAUUUGAGAGACAAAAUAAAUGGAAGACAUGAGAACCUUCCA
rnacentral:sRNA from 1 species